AUGUUGUCUGCUUCCUGCUCAGGACUUGUGGUCCUGUUGAUAUUGAGAGGGACCAAUGGAGACUCGGUGACCCAGACAGAAGGCCCUGUUACCCUCCCCGAGGGGGCAUCUCUGACCCUGAACUGCACCUACCAGAGCAGCUAUUCAGUUUCCCUUUUCUGGUAUGUCCAGUAUCAAAACAAAGAGCCUGAGCUCCUCCUGAAAAGCUCAUCAGGAAACCAGGAGCUGGACAGCAGAGGGUUUCGGGCCAAUCUUGUUAAGAGUGACAGCUCCUUCCACCUGCAGAAACCCUCAGUGCAAAUGACUGACUCGGCCGUGUACUACUGCGCCCUGAGAGACACAGUGAGGGGGACUGCAGGGGGAGCUGAGCACAAACCCGGAGGGCGCAGGUGGGCCUGGCUGUGGGAGCCCUGGGAGGGGGUGUACCUUCUCUCUCCAGUGUUCUCUGCUGGAGACAUCUUCAAAGUACUUCCAACUCUGGUGCCUCAGAGCCAAGGAACCUUGGAAUUCUUGGAAUACUCUGCAGAGAGGAACUAG